rnacentral:rRNA from 1 species
GCAGAAUGGAAUUUGAGGCCUUUCCACCCAAUCUGGUCUGAUUCUGGAAGAUAAGCAGGGUCACGUCUGGGUAGUACUUGAGUAGGAGACAAUAAGAGAAUAUCAGGUAUCUCUAGGCA